UUUAAGCUCACUCGCUCCUGCACUUUCAUGCGAGCUCAGUCCUCUACGCAUUGGAUUGUGGGAAAUUGUGCUUUAAGUGUACAUUGGAUGUACGCUCUAGUUCAGAGAGGAUUGUGGGUAAAAGUAGUGAACUAAUGUACGGAAUGAUGUGGUUCACUCAGAAUUCGGACACCACUACAAAAUGGCCGACACCCUAAAUAGUGCACUAUAUAGUGGAUAGGGAGCGAUUUCAGACACAGCUUAUACCUUUGUGUUAAUAUCUAAUGUUAGCCAAAUUCAGGGAUGACAUUAUUCAUGGCUUGUUUUGAUGCCAUCAGGGCACCAAAAACAAAUCCACAGCAACCAAAGGAGGACAUCAACACCAUUGAAACAGACAUCAGUAACCCGUAAAUUUACGAUAAAACCUUUUCUUCCCAUUUAACCCAUACCCAUAUUUUACCCAUAUAACAUGUGCUAAAAUCUACUGCUAAACUUUGGCCUUUCCCACUAAUUAGCCUUGACAGCAAGGAAUCACACCCCACACUUUAGACACGGAGAGGCAGAGGUCUUAAGUUGUAAGUAAUACUGUGUCAGUUCACUAACACUGCAUUCAAAUAUUACAGGUUUACCCAUAUAUCCAAAAUACUGUUACACAACAUGCGUUAUCUUUCACAACAAUUUAAGUUCUAAAACUGACCGUGUUUAACUCAUUAACCUAUUAAACUAAAUUUUGUACAACCAAAUCUGCAGAGUAAAAGAGUUUUAUUGCCUUCUACUGUCAUUUAACAUGUUCAAACUAAUAUAUUGUUGUGGUGUUCCCCUCUUUAGCAUCAUCCCACACUGGUUUCAGUGAAGCUUUUUCUUUUUUUUAUAGCUUGGAUACGCAAAAUUCUUGCAAACCAAGAAAUGAUUAAAGAACAGAUGGGAACAUUGGUUAAAUUGGUCUACGACCUCAAAAAAUUAUCAACUACAGAAGACAGCCCAACAUUAAACACAGACUGUCUUCCACUGUCAAGUUUUCAACAACUUCAAGUCAUGGAGGGGCAGCUGCAGCAGGAAGACUACAAAACAGCUGUGAUAAACACGUUAGCCUUGAGGGGAGGCACAACAGUAAAGGAAAGUGUAUGGCGGAAUCUGAGCUUCCUUCUAUCAAACGACAUGGCCCGGCAAAUGAACUGGAGGGGAAUCAAUGGAAAAGCGGCAUUCAAAGACACCUCUCUGAAAACUGUAAUUAAUGCUGCAGUCAGAAGAAACCGUUUGACUUCCACUGCAACAGACCAGGAAGUAGAAAACUGGAUAAAGAGAUGGCUGCAGCUUUCCGCAGACAUGGAUGGAGGUUGUCGGGCAAGACAAAAAAAUUGACUGUUUCCUGUUUUUGACACUUGCUUGUUCAACGGACUGCUCUUUUGCUUUGCUGUUUUUGAACUAUAGAUCUGAUACUCCACUUGUUUAUUAAAUUCUCCUGGUUCUGACACUCGCUCGCCCUGCCUGUUCAACGGACUGCCCUUUUGCCUUGCUCUGUUUUUUUAACUAUAGAUCUGAUUCUACGCUUGUUUUAUUAAACUCUCCUGGUUUUGAGUGACACUUGCUUGACCUUGUUCAUAAUAUGUAGACCUUGUCUAAUGUUUUCUUUGGACUGAUUUCUGGCAGUCC